CCUACGGGAGGCUGCAGUAGGGAAUCUUCCACAAUGGGCGAAAGCCUGAUGCAGCAACGCCGCGUGGGUGAAGAAGGUCUUCGGAUCGUAAAACCCUGUUGUUAGGGAAGAAAGUGCGUGAGCGUAACUGUUCACGUUUGGCCGGUAUCUAACCAGAAAGCCACGGAUAACUACGUGCCAGCAGCCGCGGUAAUACGUAGGGGGCAAGCGUUAUCCGGAUUUGUUGGGCGUAAAGGGAACGAAGGCGGUCUUUUAAGUCUGAUGUGAAAGUCUUCGGCUUAACCGGAGUAGUGCAUUGGAAACUGGGAGACUUGAGUGCAGAAGAGGAGAGUGGAAUGCCAUGUGUAGCGGUGAAAUGCGUAGAUAUAGGGAAGAACACCAGUGGCGAAAGCGGCUUUCUGGUCUGUAACUGACGCUGAGGUUCGAAAGCGUGGGUAGCAAACAGGAUUAGAUACCCGUGUAGUC
rnacentral:rRNA from 1 species